UAACUGAAAAUUGGCAUGAAAUUAUGUGCAUUUGAAGGACUAGCAGACGCAGGUCAGCUAAGCCUAGUUGAAUCCUUCUCCCAGAAGAAUUAGUGGAAGUCUGUGCACCAACUGCUAAAACCAGGGAGGCUUUGGUCAUUCCCACUCGAGUUCUUCCCUUUUUUAUUGUAACCAUGGUAACUCAUUAAACUAAUCUGUUUCUGCACUUUGACAUGAUACAUGAACUCUCAAGUGAGGCCAUGCAAUGAAGCUCAUUUGUCUACAGCAUUGGCCCCCAAGGAAAGAUCUAGUCUAGUUUGUAAACUCGUAUGGUACCAUAUAAAGCAGAGGAUGGGCUGGAUGAAUUUCUUAGCUUCUUUCCACCUCUCCUCUUUUUGGUAAUGUUCCUUUGGUACAAUGAAGGCUAACAGAAAAAGCCAAUAUUUCUGUUGUGUUUAAUUGUGUUGUCACAAAUAGGGCAUGGUCUAUGCUACAGCUACUGACUCUACUGACUCAAGGGUUGCUCCAGUGUCUUAUAAAGCUAAGGUAUUGUUUGCCAGGCUGCCUGAAUGUCUAUGACACAUUCAUUAUCAUGCACACCACACACAGAGUGACAUAGAUGAUAUCCCUGUGCCUAGGCUUUAAGCAGGUGAGAUGCCAACCCAUCUGCCAUGAAGUAUCUCUAAUGGUGGCCAGGACCCACAAGUAUCUCUGGGGGUUGGGCCCUGAGGGAUGAGGAAUAUUCUCUCAAUUCAUUCAGCCUGAUCCCUGGGUGCCUUUUAUAUCCUUACUGGCUCACACUCUCAUAUAUUACUAUAGACAGACAGAUUAAGAAAACUAAAUAGGGUUUUGUGGUUCCUGCUUUUCAGGCCUCUUGCAGAUAAAUAUCAGGGGAGAAAUAAAGCUCUAUACUAAUGCUAACCUCCCAGACACUAGAAGAAAAAGGUAAAAGAAAACAAUAAAACUUCAAGAUUUCCUCCAGAUCUCCUCUGCUGUAAAUAUCCACCAUUUAGAGGAGGCUAGCCUAAUAGAAGGUGAAAAGUUUGGAGCAUUUGGGCACAGAGCCACCAGGCCCAUAGCUGAUCUAACCUUCCUAUGUGGAAAGCCAUUCCAGUAACCCUUCCUCGGAAUUCAGGAAUAAUUCAGCAGCAACAAAACACGUCUUGGCCAGCAUGUCAUACAGAAAGAGGAAACUAAAUCCCAGAGGGAUGAAGUUACUGCCCCAUGUCCCAGAGCUGAUCCAUUUGGAGUGUGAUUCAGACCCAGGUCAUUGGACUCCAGAGUUGCCUCAGACCCUAUGGCUGUAUUUAUAAAGAUGGCCUUUCGGGAAAUAUUGGCAAUUUUUUGUGUACAAAAAUCCACAAACAAGUCUGUGUCCUCUACUCACCUUCACUUGUUGCCAAAAAACCUGUUGAAAUAAAGUCCAUGGCCUUUUGAAUCCUU